AACGAGCGCUGGCGGCAUGCCUAACACAUGCAAGUCGAACGAAGUCUUCGGACUUAGUGGCGCACGGGUGCGUAACGCGUGGGAAUCUGCCCUUGGGUGCGGAAUAACUUCUCGAAAGGGAUGCUAAUACCGCAUAAUGUCGUAAGACCAAAGAUUUAUCGCCCAAGGAUGAGCCCGCGUAAGAUUAGCUAGUUGGUGGGGUAAAAGCCUACCAAGGCGACGAUCUUUAGCUGGUCUGAGAGGAUGAUCAGCCACACUGGGACUGAGACACGGCCCAGACUCCUACGGAGGCAGCAGUGGGGAAUAUUGGACAAUGGCGAAAGCCUGAUCCAGCAAUGCCGCGUGAGUGAUGAAGGCCCUAGGGUUGUAAAGCUCUUUUACCAGGGAUGAUAAUGACAGUACCUGGAGAAUAAGCUCCGGCUAACUCCGUGCCAGCAGCCGCGGUAAU
rnacentral:rRNA from 1 species